CUGACUCGUUGGCGGUUGAGUUUUGGUCGGUCAUCUGCAGCGCCACGGUCUUCUCCGGUAGCCCUCCGCCGGUCUUCGUGUCUAUUGGAAGAGAAGGGAAGGGUGACUCUCCUUACAUGAGCCUCGCGGGACAGGGGUCAGAUGGCGGCCUCAACUUGGCGAGAUGGCACCGGCGCCCCUAGGAGAGGAUCACGUCGACACAGUUCCUAAUGGAGACGAAGUGUUCUCCGUUACCAGUCAGUAAUAAGGUGAGCUUCGAAGUAGUCCAGUGCACUCCUCCUCCUCCUCCCCUUAUCCUGCACCAUCACCAGCUUAAGAAAAGGUAAAGUGCUCCUUCUCUUACAGUGUUUCUGCUUCUUGUUCGUCGUGUUUGCUUGUGUCGUUGUGGUUGGGUGGUUCAUGUACUUGGUUAUUCGUUUUUUUUUGUUUCUUUUUCGUUUUCGUUUAUAUAUUAUUUAUUCGUUAUUUUUUGUGCAUUCUGGUAUCUUUCUCCUUCGCUUUGUUUCUAGUGCUUCUUUAUUUCUCCUUUCCUUUGUUUCUCACGUUCAUUUACUUU